rnacentral:rRNA from 1 species
AUACGGAGGGUGCAAGCGUUGUCCGGAUUUAUUGGGUUUAAAGGGUGUGUAGGCGGUGUAUUAAGUCAGUGGUGAAAGCCUGCGGCUCAACCGUAGAACUGCCAUUGAUACUGACACACUUGAGUAUGGACGAGGUAGGCGGAAUUUAUGGUGUAGCGGUGAAAUGCAUAGAUACCAUAAAGAACACCGAUAGCGAAGGCAGCUUACUAGGCCAUAACUGACGCUGAGGCACGAAAGCGUGGGGAGCGAACAGGAUUAGAAACCCGUGUAGUCC